CCUCUUUGUUGUUUGAGUCACUUUGAGAGGACUAUUCCUAAAAGCCAAAUUUAACAACACAUCCAGCCUCAGACUCAGGUCCCUGGACUUUGGGACUCAUUCUGCUCGACUUGAUCCCUGCUCUGCCCAUUGAUCACAUACACACGUUUACACCUGGCAGAAGAGGAAGAGGAGGCAUGAAGGAAUGGCCUCUUCAGAAUGGAGAAAAGCCUUCCCCAUGAGAACAUGCCUAAGACAGACUGCUGAAGAAGGCGGCAAAUGGAACAGCGCUGAAUCAGCCUGGUCAUCCCAGUCAAGCCUCCAGACAUGUAAGCACCCUCCUCUGAUCUGCAGAGCUGCCUGGCCCAAAUACUGUUGACCACUCUUGAGUAAGCCCCACCAAGAUCAGCUGAGAACAGUAGAACUGACCAGAUGACUCUAACCUCAUGAAUAAAUCCAAGUGUUUUUUUAUUUGCCUCUGA
rnacentral:lncRNA from 1 species